AUAAAUAUAAGUAUCAUGAUAAGAUAUUAGGAAAAUUAUGGUCAGAGUCGUUGAUCAAUUGUUGACCUGGCUAGGAAUUCAGUGUACAUUUUACUGUUUUAAAAACAAAAUUUUGUACACCUUUUUUAACUAAGAAAAUGUAUCAGUUAGGCUUUAAGUCAAAACCUAUAAAUAGAUGUAAAUUUAAAUUAAUUAAAAAAAAAUAAUAAUGUUAGCGUUAUGGAAUAUGGAUUAUUAUUAAUAUCCUGUUUCUUGCAAAGAGCUUGGACGACCAAAUCGAGACGUCAUUUGUUCUUACAGAGCACACGUGUAUACACUUUUAAAACAUGGCAUGUACAUUGCACACACUCAUAUCUUCAUUAGUAAAUAUAACUUAUAAAGUAUGUGUUUGUGUAUGUGUGACGAGUGGUAUAAUAUAUCCACAGCCAACAACUCGCCAAAACGAUGUGAUUUGCCUAAAUAAGCAACGUUGGAGUUUAUAAUUAUACAUACAAUUAUUUUAUCUCUGUUUUUGGUUUUGUAUGACAGUUGAAAAUAACGAAUAUUCAGAACUGAUAACUUUUGGAAAUUUUUCUUUGGUUUUAAUUGAGACAAUGAAUGUCAAUUGUGAUAACAUGCUUAGUCGUCAAUGGGCACAUAGUAAAUAAUAUAACUUUAAAUGAAUUCCUAAACUUUAUUCAUAGACAUUUCACUGGUAAGGGACUGCUGGAAAUUGUACGAUAAUAAUAAUAAUAUAUUUAUUUAAUAAAGUAGUUAAUUUUUCAGUUUACUUCUAUACCUAUCUCUUUCGAAAAAGUAUAAAGGCAAGUUUUACAAGAAAAAAUUACAAACCAAUUUCAGUUUUCUGUUUCACACUAGGUCGUUAAAACAAUUUAAUGAAAUGUAAUCGAACAAUGAAUGAAAAAAGAAUACCAAAUGGAGACUGAAAAUAUUUGUUUAUAUUAAAGUUAUCUUAUAAAAAAACAACUGGUAAAAUUUAAAAGUGAAAUUAAAUUAACUUGAGUUAGGUUUUUUUUAAUAACAGUUGAAUGUCCGUGCAGUCUGCAAUCUGCUGACCUAAUCCGUUUAGUUCUAUGCAAUCGUUGUAAAUAUUUAUUGUAUAUAUAUUUUAGUUUUAAGUUGGUUUUAUGUCAUAGAGAGCUGGCCAGUAGGUAAGACAUUUUUUUUGUAAAUAGUUUUAGUAUUCUCUUUGAAUAGUAGUUAGUUUUGCAUACCAAUACUCAUUUUUGUUUUUAUUUAGUUUGAGACUUAUACAGUCCACAUCCUUUAUUUAACAGCUAUUAUUUUCCGAAAUACAGUACUAACAAAAAUAUAAGGCGGUGGACGCAUCUAAUAUUACAUUAAGUAUAUAAUGGUAAAUGAACGACCGCGUUUUAAAAAAAAAAAUGUUAACUACAUUUUUUUCAUUAACUGUAAAAAAAAAUUGUUCAUUAGUCAUUACCAUACGAGAUGUAGACCCCGCCUAUGGCUACCUUUAACUAACUAACUACAAAUAUAACAUUUAUUUUAUUUCCAAACAAACAAUAACUAUAAAUAUACUUGACAAAAUGCCAAAACUGUAUUUAAUUUGUAUUUUUCAAGUUGUUAUAAGUCAUAUAUUAAGUGAAAAACAUAGAAGCUAAAAAUUGUAAAAUACUUUUUCCACAUCUAUGGCCACAUAAUUUUGUAUUCUAACUUUCUAAAAAUGUAUAGUGUUUUAUGAAAUUAAGUAGGUAACUGAAUAAAACAGGACAGGGGCUUUACCCCGAUGUUAAAUAAUAUACUGAUCAGGUAUAUUAAAUUUAAUUUGUUUCUAAAAAGUUGUGACUCUUGGUAUUAUAUUUAACCAUAAUAUUAUAAAUUUAAAUAUAUAAUAAUAUUACAGCGGAAAUUAGUCGGCUGAUUCUACUUGGUCCGUUAUAGCGUAGCUCAUUAUAUAAUAUAACCUAUAUUAAAGCGAUGCCAAAAUCUUUGGGUUUCCUGUAAAUUGUAAACUCUAGGUCAUAUAAGAAAACCUAUAAAAUAUAAAAUUGUGUCAAAAACGAAAACAGAGUUUUUUUGUUACAUCUGAAAUCUUAAUCGAAAUUUAUAAUUUUAUCUCCCAUUGCGAUAAUACAAUAAUACCUUUGAACAGGUCCUAAAUCAUAGUAAAAAUAAUAAAGUACACAAAUAGUAUACUUUAAAUGUAUUGUAUAAGUUUAAACGCUUUGACAAUUGACGACAAGCGUGUACAACGUUUCCAAUCAAUGUAAGGCCGCUAGUAAAAUGUUUUCAUAAUAAUCUUAACCACCGUUGGUAUGUCUUGUAGAGUUUAGACCAUUCAAACCUUUUUAAAUAAACCUAACCUCCCCUAUGUUUAGUGGCUUCUUAAAGGGUUUUUUAAAAUAGUUUUAUCAUUAAACUCGCUUAGUGAAAACAUGUUCAUAUCUUUUACUACCUUAACACAAAAUGAGAAUGGUAAAGUAUUGCCAAGUUACUAGAGGUAGGAAACGAGUGAGACGGUCAGUACAGUCACGGCAGCGGAACAGUCGUGACAUGACCCUGAAGAUGGACCCUGCAAAGGGUCCGAAACGUCGGUUAACAACCAUUGACGCGGAUAUAUCCGAAAAUCAAGCAUGUGAUAUUUCAAUCCGCGAAAGUUUCAACACAUUCUUAUUAUAAAAAUGUUAUGAAAAUUAAUUUUGUGAAUGUUUUAUAGCAUUCAAAUACACAAAACGCUAAGAAAAAAAAUCACUCGAGUCAAGCUAAGAAAAUCUACAGUUCAGAGAUAACGAUUUUUUAAAAAUGAAUUACAUCGUCAAGCCCAGGAGAUCAGUCAAUAGCUGUUGUACAUGGAGAAAUACAAUAUUUGUAUGGUCUAAAUUUAAAAAAAAAAUAUAGUUAAACUGAUACAUGUACGAGUAUAAAGUGGACGGCUCAUUAGACUAGUUGCCACACAGACAUGGUAUACUAUUUAAUUAAUUUACAUACAGAUAAAUAAUUCAAAAAGCGGGUAAUUAUAAAAUAAACUAUAUAAAAGAAUAAUAGUUAAUUAUAAUAGAUGUUAGAGACGAAAAGAUACUAGAUCGUUAACAUAAAAUUGAAAUUUUCUAUGUAUAUAAAAUGGUAUUGAAAACGUUACGACGACACAAAAAAUUAGUAAAAUAAAAAUUUUA